AAUAUUCUCCUUAAUUUAAUGAACAAUGAAAUCUACCAAAUCAAUAAUCACAGUUGUUGAUUACCCUCUAAUCUUCGUUCAAAAUUAAAUUUUAUUUUAUAGACUAAGGGAAAUUUAUUGAAUAGCACUACCCUAUAUAUAUACCUUAAACUUUACAACGUAAAGAACCUUUAUCUUGUAAACUGGUCACAAAAAAAAAACAAUAAAUCUAUGCAGCAACAUUGUGGCCACCCACACACUAGUAUAAUAAGGAAAAUUUUGAUUUAUUUUAUUUAUUUUUUAAAAUAAAAAUAGAAUUUAGUUAUUUUACUAUAUUCUCUACAUUGUACUUAUUUUUU
rnacentral:lncRNA from 1 species